GGGAGGCUCCAGCACCAGAGCUCAACCCUGAGGUCCAAGUCCAAGUCAAGUCUCCAGUCUCUGAAGUCCAAGUCAAGUCUCAAGUCUCUGAAAUCCAAGUCAAGUCUUAAGUCCCUGAGGUCCAAGUCCAAGUCAAGUCUCUAGUCUCUGAAGUCCAAGUCCAAGUCAAGUCUCCAGUCUCUGAAGUCCAAGUCAAGUCUCAGGUUCCUGAUGUCACGUCCAAGCCUGCUGAUCCAGUUGACCAAGUUCCGCUAAUAUCUAAGCCUAACAACCAAGUUCUGCUCACGCCCAAGUCUACUGACAUGGCCGACCACGUUCUGCUCACACCCAAGUCUACUGACAUGGCCGACCAAGUUCUGCUCACGCCCAAGUCUAACGACACGGCCGACCAAGUUCUGCUCACGCCCAAGUCUAAUGACACGGCCGACCACGUUCUGCUCAAGCCCGAGUCUACUGACCCGGUCGCCCAAGUUCAGCCCAUGCCAAGUCUACCGACCCGGUCACCGAAGUUCAGCCCACGCCCAAGUCUACCGACCCGGUCACCCAAGUACAGCCCACGCCCAAGUCUACCGACACGACCACCCAAGUUCUGCCAAAGCCCGAGUCAGCUGACAUGCACAGCCAAGUUCUGCUCACGCCCGAGUCUGCUGACACGGACAAUCAAGCUCUGCUCACGUCCAUGUCUGCUGACAUGCACAACCAUGUGUCUGU
ensembl:lncRNA